rnacentral:rRNA from 1 species
GAUGAACGCUGGCGGCGUGCCUAAUACAUGCAAGUCGAGCGAACAGAUGAGGAGCUUGCUCCUCUAACGUUAGCGGCGGACGGGUGAGUAACACGUGGAUAACCUACCUAUAAGACUGUGAUAACUUCGGGAAACCGGAGCUAAUACCGGAUAAUAUAUUGAACCGCAUGGUUCAAUAGUGAAAGACGGUUUUGCUGUCACUUAUAGAUGGAUCCGCGCCGCAUUAGCUAGUUGGUAAGGUAACGGCUUACCAAGGCAACGAUGCGUAGCCGACCUGAGAGGGUGAUCGGCCACACUGGAACGGAGACACGGUCCAGACUCCUACGGGAGGCAGCAGUAGGGAAUCUUCCGCAAUGGGCGAAAGCCUGACGGAGCAACGCCGCGUGAGUGAUGAAGGUCUUCGGAUCGUAAAACUCUGUUAUUAGGGAAGAACAAAUGUGUAAGUAACUAUGCACGUCUUGACGGUACCUAAUCAGAAAGCCACGGCUAACUACGUG